CCAGAUCACGUUAAACAAUGUAUUCGACACACUAGUGGCGUACAAGGUGAAGGCCACGAAUCCGAGAACGCUGACAGUGGAACCGCCAAAAGGCAUCAUUGGUGUCGGACAGCAGGUCACGUUAAACGUCACUCUUCGUGAAGGAGAAGUGGUUUCAUUGCAAAUGAUGAUUCAAGUGGUGCCCGUGUCGGCAGAACUCAGUAAAAAGACUGUCGACUCUUUGCUGAAAGACCUGGCACCCAAGAUGACGAGUACAAACAUUAAAGUAAAGCGAGUAGUUCCAAUCUUAGACGAACCGAUAUUUUACAGCUGCAAGUCGACAGCUCCAGAUGAUGAAGAUUUCAGUCCCGCAAAAUCGAAAUGGUGGAAAUAAUUCAUAAAACAAUACCGGUUGAAUUUUAUAACGAUAUCGUCAAAACAUUUCUUGACACAUUCAGUGUUGGUUCUGAAGAUUUGUGUGUUAUCAGAAUUAUCAGGGAUUCCUAGAUAUGUGAGCUGUUUAAAAGAAUGAAAGUUUUAUUGUAUUCGUAACUGUCAUGUUCAAAUUAAAAAAUGAAUGAUCUACAAUGUUAUCCAUAUGUUGUGUAUUAAUUGUGCAGCCUAUUAUAAUUUCUUUUAUAUGUU